GAUGAACGCUAGCUACAGGCUUAACACAUGCAAGUCGAGGGGCAGCAUGGUCUUAGCUUGCUAAGGCCGAUGGCGACCGGCGCACGGGUGAGUAACACGUAUCCAACCUGCCGUCUACUCUUGGACAGCCUUCUGAAAGGAAGAUUAAUACAAGAUGGCAUCAUGAGUCCGCAUGUUCACAUGAUUAAAGGUAUUCCGGUAGACGAUGGGGAUGCGUUCCAUUAGAUAGUAGGCGGGGUAACGGCCCACCUAGUCUUCGAUGGAUAGGGGUUCUGAGAGGAAGGUCCCCCACAUUGGAACUGAGACACGGUCCAAACUCCUACGGGAGGCAGCAGUGAGGAAUAUUGGUCAAUGGGCGAGAGCCUGAACCAGCCAAGUAGCGUGAAGGACGACGGCCCUAUGGGUUGUAAACUUCUUUUAUAAAGGAAUAAAGUCGGGUAUGGAUACCCGUUUGCAUGUACUUUAUGAAUAAGGAUCGGCUAACUCC
rnacentral:rRNA from 1 species